ACUCUAGUCUGGCACGGUGAAGAGACAUGAGAGGUGUAGAAUAAGUGGGAGGUCCCUGGCAUGUCCCCCCCCCCAGUGCUGCCCUCACACCCCAUUUCCUGCCAGGGGGCGGGGCAGGGUCCUCGGCCUUGCGGGCUGCUGGUGAAAUAUCGCUACUCUUAUCAUUUUUUUUCACUGACCCGGUUGGGGGGGGUAAGGGAGGGAGGGCGAGCGCCAAGGGGCUCUUGCUUCUGGCACCAAGCGCCUGGCAGGCACCCACUCGGGGACAGUGACAGGUGGGGAGUUUGACUGGGGCAGUACACCUGUCAAACAGUAACACAGGUGUCCUAAGGCGAGCUCAGGGAGGACAGAAGACUUAUAGGAGGAGGUGGAAUGUGGCUUCUCCAGAACAAUCCUGAGAACAAAGCAGGCAAAUAGAUGGCUGCUGAGAGGUAGACUGUCUGUCAAA
rnacentral:ncRNA from 1 species